ACAUUCUGAAAAGAACCGGUGGUACUCAACGUUUCAGACAGUAUGCUCUGUCCGUCUUCAGAAGACGUCUUGAGCAGUGUUGGAGCUGUUUUGCGUCUCCAAAUUUCGAAUUUUUUUUUUUUAAAAAGGAAAGGCCACUGUAUCAAUGGAGCCUGCCUCUUUUCAGCGCUGGGAGAAAUACCAAUUACCUGUCUUGGCUUCAUCCAAGUCAACACUGUCUGUGACAGACAGACAAUAUCAUGGAAAUUCCUCUGAACAAGAAGUGCAGUGUUUUUUUCACCGCAGAGGGAGUGGAAGAAAAAGGCAGCCUGAUGGUGCUGUACAUGUACCUCAAGAUGUAGCCACUCAAGACCUUCCUCAUCUGUAGUGCACUGACAGCAGUUUGGAAUGAAGACAGCAGUGAUCCUUAAUAGCACUCUACUAGACAUACGCUACACCAUUUCCUAGAUAACACUACGGUCGAAGACUACACAGCUUUCUGGUGUGUAGUGUACAUUCCUUCCAUACUGCAACUUGAAUUAUUGGCCACUUUGCCUGGACCCGUCUCAGCCAUCUGGAAAACCUCCAGACACUCCUUGCGCAACUCUCACUAACUGGUCCAUGGUGUCUCUGUUGUGGGUGCUCAUCGCCUUUCCCCUACCCAUGGAUUCCACCAGGCCUAUCCAUGAGUUGCCUAUCAUCUGCAUGGACUUGUCAUCCUCUCUUCUGUGUGUGUACGGCCUCCCCAUGCUACAGACUGCUUCCAGCAUGAUCUAUGGAGCUGGUUCCCUAGGUUAGGAUACAAAUCAGCAACAUGAUAGCCCCAGCUGAAUUGCACUGAGCAGAUUGAGAAGAUCAAUUCAUACUAUUUAGCUAGGAAGGAUAACACCACGGUGACCUCUCAGGCACAACCUAGUAUUACCCUCAGCUGCCAAGUGGGAUUCCACCU
rnacentral:lncRNA from 1 species